CUACGGUGGCAGCAGUGAGGAAUAUUGCACAAUGGGGGGAACCCCGAUGCAGCAACGCCGCGUGGAGGAUGACGCAUUUCGGUGUGUAAACUCCUUUUAUAUGUCAAGAAAAUGACGGUAGCAUAUGAAUAAGCACCGGCUAACUCCGUGCCAGCAGCCGCGGUAAUACGGAGGGUGCAAGCGUUACUCGGAAUCACUGGGCGUAAAGGACGCGUAGGCGGGUUGGAAAGUCAGGUGUGAAAUCCUACAGCUUAACUGUAGAACUGCACUUGAAACUUCUAAUCUAGAGUAUGGGAGGGGGAGAUGGAAUUAGUGGUGUAGGGGUAAAAUCCGUAGAUAUCACUAGGAAUACCUAAAGCGAAGGCGAUCUCCUGGAACAUUACUGACGCUAAGGCGUGAAAGCGUGGGGAGCAAACAGGAUUAGAUACCCCUGUAGUC
rnacentral:rRNA from 1 species